GCAACGAGCGCAACCCUUAUCCUUUGUUGCCAGCGAUUAGGUCGGGAACUCAAAGGAGACUGCCAGUGAUAAACUGGAGGAAGGUGGGGAUGACGUCAAGUCAUCAUGGCCCUUACGACCAGGGCUACACACGUGCUACAAUGGCGCAUACAAAGAGAAGCGACCUCGCGAGAGCAAGCGGACCUCAUAAAGUGCGUCGUAGUCCGGAUUGGAGUCUGCAACUCGACUCCAUGAAGUCGGAAUCGCUAGUAAUCGUGGAUCAGAAUGCCACGGUGAAUACGUUCCCGGGCCUUGUACACACCGCCCGUCACACCAUGGGAGUGGGUUGCAAAAGAAGUAGGUAGCUUAACCUUCGGGAGGGCGCUUACCACUUUGUGAUUCAUGACUGGGGUGAAGUCGUAACAAGGUAACCGUAGGGGAACCUGCGGUUGGAUCACCUCCUUACCUUAAAGAAGC
rnacentral:rRNA from 2 species